rnacentral:lncRNA from 1 species
AUGAGACGCACAUACUUUGAGCAGCAGCGUCUUGGAAAAGAGGGUGACGUCACCUUAUCGAAAGAGCUAUUCUGCCGGCUCAUCCGAAAUACCAUGACAAACAUGGUAUCAAUAGCAAGAGCAUCUUCUGAUGACUACAAAUAUCCCACUAAACAUGAAGUUAUUGCCAUGGCAAAACGGUUAGUGGAAUACUACCCUAUGAUAAAAGAUAAGUCAACUGGAUCUAGGCACGAGUGGGACACUGUUGCUAAAAAGCUCCUGAAGCGACUUUCAAAUAUCCGAAGUCCCAUGAAGGCCAAACAGCCUCCUUUCAAAAGAGCACAUCAGGACAAAGAACUUUCUGCUGCUGUGACAAGUGACUAUGAUGCUGAUUCCAGUGCUUCAACAGUCAUUCUGUCAUCACCUUCAAGUUCAAGCACCCCACGGCAAGAAAAUGACAGCAUUGAUGAAGCAUCUGAUGGUCCUGACAACAGCCUUGACAGCCAGAAAACCCAGGCAAGACAUUACAGGACGCUCCAAGAAAUGUACAAAGCAAAGAAGCCAAAUAAAGCUGCUGUAACCCAUCUAUUAGACCUGGAGUUCCAGUCCAGAAGAAGUUUCAUUGACUCAAAUGUAUUGAAGGAGCAAGACAAACCCACAAAUAUUUUGCAAGCGUACCCCUGCUUCAAAGAAUUGGACCAUGCAAUGGAUGAACUACGAAGAAUCAUUGAGCCAAACAACUCCAAAUACAUUUCUGAGGUAAAGGACAGGUGGGAGACCUUCUACUCCAAGGUUCAGUUUUAUGGAGUGAUGAAAAAAGUCAUGAAGCCUCCAAGGACAUUAAAUGGAGUUGAACAUGCCAUUGCUGUUUUUACUGCCCUACCGCUGCUCUUCCCAUCUGGGUCUGCAGCACCGAAGAAACAGGUCCCAAUCAGUGAGGCUCUUUUCCAUGUUCUGACGGUGAGUUUUACUUUAAGUAGUGAUAAGUUAUUAACAGGUGACUACAUUGUCAAUAAAAUACUAAGUUAAAACCAUCUCAAUUGCACUACGUAAAAUUGGACAUGCAACGUAACAACUAACUUAAAGGUAUUGUAGAACAUUCUUUAAUUAUGUCUUUAUUUACUUAAUCACAACCUGCUGAACACAAAAGUAAGAUAGUUUGAAGAAUGUUGAUAUGCAAACCCAGAUCUGUUGGGUUGGCAUUCACUUCCAUUAAAGAAAAAAAAAUAUGGAAGUGAAUAGUGACCCAGAUCUUAUAUUGAUUUUUGCUGUGUUUGUAGUCUGAAUUGUGUAUUUUUGUUAUUUGGUUUUCUAGCCCUCAGAGGAUCCGGAUACCUACAUCCACAGGCGUGCAUUUUCCAGUCCGGUCUUGCUGGUUGGUGAGGAGAACUGCAUGGUGGUUGUAGGUACAACCCCAGUUCUAACAUUUGACAAAGACUUGCUCUAUGAGGGGCCUCUCUACCUCCUGGCCUAUUACUAUGCAUUUAAUCUCACAUAUCCAAAGUGUCUUGCAACCCUCUUGUCUGUGUUGCAAACACAAGUUCUGAGAGAUGUCAUCCACGAGCAGGAUGAAACCCCCUCGUACAAAAAGGCCAUUCAUGAAUGGAGAAUGUUUGUUGACUAAUUGCUGUUUCAAGCUGCUGUGGCUGAGAGACAGCUGCAUUUUUUUUUCGGCCAUUACAUUUGCACUUGAUUUGUGCUGUUAGGAGUUUUUCCCCAUUUUCAGUAUAUUAAAUGUAUCUAACAUACAAUAAUGCAGCACAGCAAAACAAAAAGUAAUUGUUGUGUGUAACUUUACAGGACAUUUUUUGUUAUUAUUAUUAAUGUUGGACUGUUCAUCCUGUUUUGCUGUACCCCAGUUGUUUAAGAGGAAAAUGUUCAUUUUUGAAUCUGCCAUUCAUUCAAGCCAUUGUUGACCCAAACUUCAAUUACUUCUUAAUCUUAUGUUGUUUCAACCUUGGAUUUAUCUACAGAAGAUAUUAUUUAGAAUGUUGGUAACUGUUGAUGGUAGCUAUUGACUUUCAUAGUAUUUUUUUAAUUUAUUUUGUAUAUUUUUCUUGCUAUGAUAGCUACCGACAUUUUUCAAAGUGUCAUCUUCUGCAAAGAAACUCAUACAGGAUUUGAAGAACAUAAGGGUGAGCAUGAUAAUUAUUUGAUUUUUGGGUUACUAUUCUGUUACAUAGUGAAUUGAUCCAGGCUGUUUGAAGCUUAAAUGCUGUUUGAGUUUGUGUAGACUGAGGCAAAGCAUUUUGCAUAGAAUACUUGCGGUUUCUGUGCCAGGUAUUUUAUUUCAUUUUAAAGUGUAAGCUUGUCUUUGCUUAUCCUGCCUUAUGCUCCAUUUGUUCAGAACUUUGGAGAAUGUUCUUUAAUAAAUGUUCAGCAAAGCUGGAAGUUGUUUCUUCACUUAAGUGGGGGAAGGUGUGGGAGGUAUUUUCUUUUAAGAGUUUUCAUCUCAUUUUAGGUUUUUUUGUGAUCUUAAAAAAAGUCUAAAUAGGCUGGAUUUAAGGUAAAAUAUUCUACUUUCAAUGUAUUUUCUCCCCCUAAAAUUAUUAUUGUCGUGCUUCAAAAAAGAGAAAACUGUUUAAUUUUAAGCUUGUUUGUCUAGUUUUAAGAACUAACUGUAGAUUUACUGACUAGAUUUAAGUCCAAAUAUUCUAGUUUUAAUGCAAUUUGUUCUAGAAUUAUUCAUGUUCAGUGCUUAUUAAAAUAAAAAAACUGCUUAAUUUUAAGCUUGUUUGUCUGGUUUUAAGAACUAACUCUAGAUUUACUGACUAGAUUUAAGUUCAAAUAUUCUAGUUUUUAUGCAAUUUGUUCUAGAAUUAUUAAUAUUUAGUGCUUAUAAAAAGAAAAAACUGCUUAGUUUUAAGCAUAUUUGUCUAGUUUUAAGAACC